CCGUGGGCGACAACGCCAUCUCCGUCGACGGCAAGGUGAUCAAGGUGGUGUCCGACCGCAACCCCUCCAACCUGCCGUGGGGUGAGAUGGGCAUCGACCUCGUCAUCGAGGGCACCGGCGUCUUCGUCGACCGCGCCGGCGCGGGCAAGCAUCUCGAGGCCGGCGCCAAGAAGGUGCUCAUCACCGCACCCGGCAAGGGCGACAUCCCCACCUACGUCUGCGGCGUCAACGCCGACCUCUACACCCACGCCGACACCAUCAUCAGCAACGCCUCCUGCACCACCAACUGCCUCGCCCCCUUCGUCAAGGUGCUCGACCAAAAGUUCGGUACGUGCCCGUCCCCUCUGUCUCUCAAGUCUCAGCUGAAUCUACUUCUUUGAGUAACUAAAAAAUGGAGGUGGCAAUGGCGCAGGCAUCAUCAAGGGAACCAUGACCACCACCCACUCAUACACCGGCGACCAGAGGCUGCUGGACGCGAGCCACCGCGACCUGCGCCGUGCCCGCGCCGCGGCGCUCAACAUCGUGCCCACCUCCACCGGCGCGGCCAAGGCCGUGGCGCUGGUGCUGCCCAACCUCAAGGGCAAGCUCAACGGGAUCGCGCUCCGGGUGCCCACCCCCAACGUGUCCGUGGUCGACCUUGUGGUGCAGGUCUCCAAGAAGACCCUCGCCGAGGAGGUGAACCAGGCGUUCCGCGACGCCGCCGCCAACGAGCUC
rnacentral:lncRNA from 1 species